AUCACUUGGGAAGGCGUGCUUGUAAUGUGUUGGUGUUAGUGACAGAACAACCACAAAACUCCCACAACCAACCAAUAUCCCACACUCUACGUCGACCCACUGCUUACUGUUUUUUCUGAUGCUAACCUGCGCCAGACUGCCAUUUUUGCAGCCCAGAAGAUCAUGAUAACCUUUCCUUUCAUCGUCACUAUCGCCCCAUCUCUUUCACCCUUUUUCUUGUUCUUCUACAUCUCUGCUCUGGGCCUUCUCUCUCCCCUCCAUUGAAAGUCUUCCAAAUUUCCAUUACUUUGUCUCUUCCCGGCCCUUCUCUCUUUUUUCUUCCCUUCCCUUUUAUUUUUCUCGAAGCGAAGACAAUAAGCUUCAAUCAUGGCGGAGGGUUUCGAGCCCUUUCACGUCCCGCAGCAGAGUAGAAGAGACAAGCUUAGAGUUGUCGCUCAGAACCAUCCCACUUGCGAAGAAGCAACAGCAUCAGCUACCCUUCACGGGUGCGCAGGUCUGCUCCCUCUUUACGAUCCAUCUCUUCUUCCAUCUGAUAUGCUAACGUGCGCCAACGCUGGUGCAUCUGAGUUUCACCACCACAACGACAACCCACUUGGUGGUGGAGCUGGGGAUGGUUGCAAGCAAAACCCAGCUUGCGUUGUCAAGGAAGAAGGAGGGAAUUUGAUAGGCUACGUUGGGGGGUUUAUCAAUGCCUGCUCCUCAUCGUCUUCGUCUCAUCACCCUUAUUUGGAUCCACAGUCUUCCCUUGCCUUGAACCCGAGUUCCAUUCAGGAUAUCAACACCAAUUCAUUUCUUUAUACCUCACAGAACCUGAGAGAUUUUGAUCACUCGUUUCAUGGUGGCGACGUGGUGGCUUUUAAGCCGGAGACCUUGUCGAUGGCCCCUGAUUCGACCACCACUGGACAAGGCUUGUCUUUAUCUCUAUCUUCUCACCAUACUCGCCCACAGAAUCUUCCUCUAGAAUUGAAUUUGCCACGCUACGAGCCUGCUAUGCUCGGUGAUAAGAGUAUCGGAGGGUUUAUAGUUCGAGGAGUUGGUGGUGCUUCGACGUCCAACGAUGUAUUGCGGAGUUCAGCCCCUCUCGGCCCGUUUACGGGCUACGCUUCGAUUUUGAAGGGAUCGAGGUUCUUGAAGCCUGCUCAGCAGCUCUUGGAGGAACUUUGUGGUGUGGGUCGGGGAAUUUAUGCUGAAAGAAGCUGUGGAGACUCGUCUUUGAUGGAUCCUUCCGUGGAAAACUUCAGCCCAAGUGAAAUUAUUGAUGAUCCACUCAGUAGCGGAGAUCGUGGGGAGCAUCGCAGGAAGAAGACAAGACUAAUAUCGAUGCUCGAUGAGGUGUUCAGGAGGUACAAGCAGUAUUACCAACAGAUGCAAGCAAUUGUUGCAUCAUUUGAAUCUGUUCCAGGCCUUGGCAAUGCAGCUCCAUAUACUUCAUUUGCUCUCAAAACCAUGUCAAAGCAUUUCAAAUGCUUGAAAAUUGCCAUUACCGACCAAAUCCGUUUCAUGAGCAAAGCUCUUGGAGAGCAGUCCUAUGAAAAAGAUGGAAAUCCAGCGUUUGGGGCCAUGGAACGAGGCUUUCAUUGCCAAAGGCCAGUCCUCAACUCUGGUGUUGUUGAACACCAACAUAUUUGGCGCCCCCAAAGAGGCCUUCCUGAGCGUGCAGUAGCUGUGCUGAGGGCAUGGUUAUUUGAACAUUUCCUACACCCAUAUCCAACUGAUACGGACAAACAAAUGUUGGCUAGGCAGACAGGUCUAACAAGGAGUCAGGUUUCCAACUGGUUCAUCAAUGCACGAGUUAGACUCUGGAAGCCAAUGGUGGAAGAGAUACACAUGCUUGAAACACGACAAGCUCAAAAGGUAUCAGAAGCAGAGGGACGGAAUGUUGACAAGCCAGUAGAUCAUCCAUCUGGGAAUACGAUAUCCUCUGCUAAACAACCCCAAAACAGCUCCGGUCAGAAGAUUCAAGACCCCCCUUCCAAGCGCACCAGAAAUGAUUUUCCCCCAGCAGUCAACGGAACUGAUGAAGCAGUAAACUUCUCAUACCACAAUCCAUCGAAUAAUCAUCACCAGGUCGGUAUCGGUGUCAACACCAUGGGUGUAAACAGCGGAGUUUCUCUAACACUGGGCCUCCGACAGAAUAAUGGAAUAGGCUUUUCAGAACCUUUUUCAAUGAACAUAGCACACCGCUUCGGCCUUGAAACAAGCAACCAAGGAUUUGUGAUGGGUGGUUUUGAAGCACAAAAUCGCCAUUUUGGAAAGGACAUAGGAGGCCAAUUGCUGCGUGACUUUGUUGGAUGAGGAACUCUGUUAUUUUUUGAGGCCUCGCGCUGUUGAAAUAUAGGCUAAAAUGGAGACCUACUAACAGACUCUCACUGAAGUAUGGUUUUUAAAUCGGCCUAGGUCCCAAAACAGACGACGGGAUCACGGGGCAGAUUGCCUUCUCGUGGUGCAACAAGGGGUAUGUUCAUUUGCUUUCUUGGUCAGAUAAAAAAGCCGGAAAUGAACCAUCUUAGGAGUUAGGAGGGGGAAAAGAGGAAAAAAGAAUAUUUUUAAACGCAAGGGAGAAGAUGGCACGAGAUUCAAUUCAAUUCAAGUUCAAGGCAACUUGCCAACUUGUACAAUUCAAUUCAUGGGGUGAGGCGUGACUCGUGAGGGCAAGGGAUAACAUUUGUUACCUUUGUGACGUAUUGUAUUUGUAACACUAUGUAUUACUGCAUGGCAAUUUUAUAUUA